rnacentral:lncRNA from 1 species
GAAUUAAUGAUACAUCCUAUGCUCUCACAUUUGGAUUUGAAAUCAGCAAUAUAUCCAUGUCUGAGAAAAUUGAACUAAGGAAUGAAACUUACACUUCAAUCAAAAGCACUAUAAAUGGAUUACUUAACGAAAUCCUAAAAGACCCCUCAGCUUCUCAGUUUGAUCUCCAUCAUGUUGAAUUCAAGGAUAAUAGCACAGUGAUUCUUGCCAGUGUUCAGUAUGUUUUCUCAGAAAGUGACUUGAACACAAAUAGCACCUUUGUCAAGGAAAUAUUCAAAGCGAAUGAAGGUAUUACCACAUCCACACCUGCUAUGUCACACUUUAUAUGUCUUGCAAUAUAAAUACCCCAUACUAUAAUUUAAAGCAUGAUUCUUCUCCACUAAUCAUUAUAUUAUUUGACAGUUUUAAUGACAGCCAGCACUCUGACAACACCUUCUCCACCGAACUUGUAAGAGAUCAAUAAUUAAUUUUCUCUUUACAUUUUUUAUUAUUAUCAUCUUUUGAAAAUGAAUGGUAAUAUGAAAUAAAUUCUCCAAAUAAAAAAAUGUAUCAUCUGUUGCAGGCUUGGGAAGGUGAUCAUAUACAUCAAGCUUGUGUUUAGAACACGGGGUGCUAUACCAAGUCAGACUGAUGUUUUAAAUCUAGCAAACAGUCUGUUGAAUCGAAUGAAAAUGAGAACUAAACGAGACCUUACAACAAAAGAUUUGACUGAACUUGUGAGCUUUGUAAAUGUCACCUAUACAAAAAUUGAUGAUUACUCCUUCUCCCUUAACUUUGGAUUUGAAAUCAGCAAUGUGUCCAUGCCUCAGAACCUUGAAUUCAGGAAUGAGACCUACCAAGUGAUCCAGAAAUAUAUGAAUUCAUUUGUAUCCACAAUCCUAAAUAAAACAACAACUACUGACUUUAAUUUCAAUCAAAUAGUUUUCAAGGGUAAUUCCACCGUGAUUGAGGCCAAUGUAGAGUAUGUUUUUACAGACAGUGACAUCGGUAGUUUCAGCUUGGUCACAACUUUGCUCGGACUUACUACAACAGCCGCUCCAACCACCUUUUACCCCACAAUUCUGCACACUACCAUCUCAAACAACAGUACUAAUGCAGCUUGGGUUGUGGCUAUCAUUGUCCCCUGUGCUAUUAUCAUCGGGCUUAUACCUUGCUGGAUUCUUCUUUGCGUAAGUAUUAUGAUGACUGAAUGUGAAAUAUGUGCAUCGGAAGUAAAGUGAUUAAUGACGUUAAUGAUUAACAUGCAAGCUUUACUAUUUUGUCUUAAAAUAGAUUUAAAUCUGUCUUUAAAUCUGCUUUUAUUUGGUUUAUAAUGUACAGCUGAUUAAAAGCAGUUUAAAGUGUAUAACAUUCCCUUCCAUGAUGCUAACUCUCACUUUGUCUGUGUACGUGUUUAGUGUUUGCUGUGUGGUUGCUGUGCAGCAAUCAGAAGACGUUGGCACAGAAGACGGUCAUACAAUGUGCAGUACACCACUCGAAACAGUCUCUUCUAGAGAUAUUCAAGAACAAACUUUAAAUGCUUAAAAGUGUAUUAAUUUUCCUGUAUUGCUGGGCAUACAGGACAUCUCCAAAUGUGAUACAACUGUGAUUUAGAAAAAAAAAAAACUAUUUAAGGAAUUAUUUUAUUUAUUUGAAAAUGAUGUUAUGUAAAGUAAUGAUAAUCUUGUUUACUGAAUGAAAGAUUUAUUUGGUAGCAUGUAUCUAAUGUUAUGGGACAAAUGUAGAAUGGGUUUAUUUACACUUCAUGUACUUUAUCUUUAUCUAAAAUAAUAUAUUUUACCCUGAUGACCAUUCCACAAUUCAUAUUAUGAGACUGUGUAGUUAAAAGCUGUAAUUUAAUAAUAAUAAUAAAACAAUACAAUAUCAAAA